rnacentral:rRNA from 1 species
AAACUUUGCAAUGUGCGAAAGCACGACAAGGUUAAUCCGAGUGAUUUCUGCUAAAGAGAUCUUUUGCCAGUCCUAGAAACACUGGUGAAUAAGGGGUGGGCAAGUUCUGGUGUCAGCCGCCGCGGUAAAACCAGCACCUCAAGUGGUCAGGAGGAUUAUUGGGCCUAAAGCAUCCGUAGCCGGAUCUGCAAGUUUUCGGUUAAAUCCAUGUGCUCAACAUAUGGGCUGCCGGGAAUACUACAGAUCUAGGAAGUGGGAGAGGUAGGCGGUACUCGGUAGGAAGGGGUAAAAUCCUUUGAUCUAUUGAUGACCACCUGUGGCGAAGGCGGUCUACCAGAACACGUUCGACGGUGAGGGAUGAAAGCUGGGGGAGCAAACCGG